GAACCAGCCAUGCCGCGUGCAGGAUGACGGCCCUAUGGGUUGUAAACUGCUUUUGUACCAGAGAAAACCCUUCCACGUGUGGGAGGUUGAUAGUAUGGUAAGAAUAAGCAUCGGCUAACUUCGUGCCAGCAGCCGCGGUAAGACGAAGGAUGCAAGCGUUAUCCGGAUUCAUUGGGUUUAAAGGGUGCGUAGGCGGACUUGUAAGUCAGUGGUGAAAUCUCUUUGCUUAACAAAGAAACUGCCAUUGAUACUGCAGGUCUAGAGUAUAGAUGACGUUGGCGGAAUAUGACAUGUAGUGGUGAAAUACUUAGAUAUGUCAUAGAACACCGAUUGCGAAGGCAGCUAACGAAACUAUAACUGACGCUGAGGCACGAAAGUGCGGGGAUCAAACAGGAUUAGAUACCCUGGUAGUCCGCACCGUAAACGAUGAUUACUCGUUGUUGGCAAUAUGACCGUCAGCGACCAAGCGAAAGCGAUAAGUAAUCCACCUGGGGAGUACGCCGGCAACGGUGAAACUCAAAGGAAUUGACGGGGGCCCGCACAAGCGGAGGAGCAUGUGGUUUAAUUCGAUGAUACGCGAGGAACCUUACCUGGGCUUGAAAGUUAGCGACCGGUCCUGAAAGGGAUCUUCCAGCAAUGGCGCGAAACUAGGUGCUGCAUGGCUGUCGUCAGCUCGUGCCGUGAGGUGUUGGGUUAAGUCCCGCAACGAGCGCAACCCCUAUUGUUAGUUACCAGCGAGUAAUGUCGGGAACUCUAACGAAACUGCCCGUGCAAACGGUGAGGAAGGUGGGGACGACGUCAAGUCAUCACGGCCCUUACGUCCAGGGCUACACACGUGCUACAAUGGUAGGUACAACGGGCAGCUACACAGCGAUGUGAUGCUAAUCUCUAAAAACCGAUCUCAGUUCGGAUUGGAGUCUGCAACUCGACUCCAUGAAGCUGGAUUCGCUAGUAAUCGCGCAUCAGCAAUGGCGCGGUGAAUACGUUCCCGGGCCUUGUACACACCGCCCGUCAA
rnacentral:rRNA from 1 species